rnacentral:rRNA from 1 species
GUGGGGAAUUUUGGACAAUGGGGGCAACCCUGAUCCAGCAAUGCCGCGUGCAGGAAGAAGGCCUUCGGGUUGUAAACUGCUUUUGUACGGAACGAAACGGUCUGGGUUAAUACCCUGGGCUAAUGACGGUACCGUAAGAAUAAGCACCGGCUAACUACGUGCCAGCAGCCGCGGUAAUACGUAGGGUGCGAGCGUUAAUCGGAAUUACUGGACGUAAAGCGUGCGCAGGCGGUUUUGUAAGACAGGCGUGAAAUCCCCGGGCUCAACCUGGGAAUGGCGCUUGUGACUGCAAAGCUGGAGUGCGGCAGAGGGGGAUGGAAUUCCGCGUGUAGCAGUGAAAUGCGUAGAUAUGCGGAGGAACACCGAUGGCGAAGGCAAUCCCCUGGGCCUGCACUGACGCUCAUGCACGAAAGCGUGGGGAGCAAACAGGAUUAGAAACCCGGGUAGUCC